CAGUCGCCGCGGUAAUACGUAGGCAGCGAGCGUUGUUCGGAAUUACUGGGCGUAAAGAGUGUGUAGGCGGUGCUCUAAGUUCGGUGUGAAAUCUCCUGGCUUAACUGGGAGGGUGCGCCGGAAACUGGAAUGCUCGAGCGUGGGAGAGGAAAGCGGAAUUCCUGGUGUAGCGGUGAAAUGCGUAGAUAUUAGGAGGAACACCUGUGGUGUAGACGGCUUUCUGGACCAUUGCUGACGCUGAGACACGAAAGCGUGGGUAGCAAACAGGAUUAGAUACCCCCGUAGUCCCUGUCUCUUAUAC
rnacentral:rRNA from 1 species